rnacentral:rRNA from 1 species
AGAACGAACGCUGGCGGCAUGCCUAAUACAUGCAAGUCGAACGAACUCUUCGGAGUUAGUGGCGCACGGGUGCGUAACGCGUGGGAAUCUGCCCUUGGGUUCGGAAUAACAGUUGGAAACGACUGCUAAUACCGGAUGAUGACGAAAGUCCAAAGAUUUAUCGCCCAGGGAUGAGCCCGCGUAGGAUUAGCUAGUUGGUGAGGUAAAGGCUCACCAAGGCGACGAUCCUUAGCUGGUCUGAGAGGAUGAUCAGCCACACUGGGACUGAGACACGGCCCAGACUCCUACGGGAGCAGCAGUAGGGAAUAUUGGACAAUGGGACGAAAGCC